rnacentral:rRNA from 1 species
GACGAACGCUGGCGGCGUGCCUAAUACAUGCAAGUCGAACGCUUCUUUCCUCCCGAGUGCUUGCACUCAAUUGGAAAGAGGAGUGGCGGACGGGUGAGUAACACGUGGGUAACCUACCCAUCAGAGGGGGAUAACACUUGGAAACAGGUGCUAAUACCGCAUAACAGUUUAUGCCGCAUGGCAUAAGAGUGAAAGGCGCUUUCGGGUGUCGUUGAUGGAUGGACCCGCGGUGCAUUAGCUAGUUGGUGAGGUAACGGCUCACCAAGGCCACGAUGCAUAGCCGACCUGCGAGGGUGAUCGGCCACACUGGGACUGGGACACGGCCCAGACUCCUACGGGAGGCAGCAGUAGGGAAUCUUCGGCAAUGGACGAAAGUCUGACCGAGCAACGCCGCGUGAGUGAAGAAGGUUUUCGGAUCGUAAAACUCUGUUGUUAGAGAAGAACAAGGACGUUAGUAACUGAACGUCCCCUGACGGUAUCUAACCAGAAAGCCACGGCUAACUACGUG